GUCCAUCAGUUAGCCCUACAAGACUGGUUUGUAGUUAUCCAGGCUGCAAAUCGCUGAGCUAAAGAAACACAGUUUUAAAAAAAAAAAAAUACUUGAAGAUGUCAUUAAAAAUUUUGAGAAAACUUGGCGAAGGAGGUUUUGGUAAAGUGUACCUUUUUCAGAACACCGAUGAGAACAAGUAUGCUUUGAAAGUGGUGUCAUUAAAUGGUUAUUAUGAUAUAGAGCAAGCGGAGGAAGAGGGUCGAAUUAUGAUGAAACUUUGUCAUCCCCACAUUAAUCAGUGUGUCUUUGUGGAGCCAAUUGGUACGUCCAACCUGUGCAUGGCUUUGGAGUAUUGUAUAAAUGGCACCUUGGCUAGAAAAAUAAAACUAUCU
rnacentral:sRNA from 1 species